rnacentral:lncRNA from 1 species
GGUCCAAUUUGCUGGUUUUCCAGUCGAACCGGUCGGUACGGUACGGUUUUUACAUCAUUGGUUCAAUCAUUUUGCCAAUAAUAUUUCGGUUUGCGUGCAUAUUUUUCUUUGCCAAAACGGCCCUAACUCUACCCAAACAAAAUUUCAAGGAUAAAAUUCAUUUUUGUGAAGCAUUCUAAAGUGUAUUCAACAUGGUAACUUAAUCAUGCAAUUUCAUGGAAAAAUCCAAAUAAUUGCUUCAAACAAAAGUAUUCAUCUUUAAAGUAUGCCAAGUUUGUUUUGAGAUGAUUUUUACUUAUUG